GUAGUACACCGAUCGCGGGUGCCGACUGGUCUGAUGACUCGACCGGUUCUUUUCCGUCGGACUAUUAUUACAAAAUUAUGCACAAACAAAGCACGAUCGAAUUCGAACGGGUGGAAUUUUCCCCUUAAGCAAAUGGCCCUGAGGGGCGAUCGCACGGCGGCUUUGAACUUAUUUCGCUCAGUAUUACCUUUAGAUCGGAAUUCAGUGAUCGUAUUUUAAUUUUUUUUUUAACAUGUAUAAUAAUAACAAUUAAAAAAAAGAAAAGCGAAACAGCUUUAGUUCAAUCCGUCGCCAAUACUGUUUUAAUCCCUGGGCAAUAUUAAAUACACACGUUCAUUAGAAGUGUGCAUAGGGGAAAAUUUGCAGCAAAUAGUGAAUAGACAACACCAUCUUCGGAAAGGGACAAAAAGUGGAAACGCAAAUCUUCAAUCAAAAUAGGUCAUUUUAUUAGUCCGAAGUUGGCUGACCAGUCUGAAGAAACUGCAACUGUGACGGUGUUCCAGAAGGAGGUCAUCUAUCUUCGCUUCUUCUCAAUAUUUUUAUAAAUGAUGUCGCAGAUGGCUUCGUGAACUGUAAAUAUAAACCAUUUUCUGAUGAUUAGAACCUCAUCAAAUCAACAUCGUACUGAGAUGAUCUACAACAAAAUUUAAAUAAUCUAGUCAACUGGACAGCUUUUAACGGAGUAUUUUUAGAUAUAGAUAAAUGAAAACAUAUGAUUUUUUAAAUUAGAACCUACUAUCUAUAACUACAAGAUUAACAACUCUGAACUCGAGAUAACUAAAUCUAUCAAGGACCUAAGAAUAUUGUUUGAUUCACUACUUUUAAUGAACAUAUUGUCAUGACGAUAAAAAAAACAACGCCUUAACAUUGUUUGGCUUCAUUAAAAGAAAUGCUAGUGAACUCAGCAACAUCAGUUGUAUAAAAAUGUUAUAUUUUUCUUUUUUUAGAUCUAUCCUUGAAUUCAAUUCACCUAUCUGGUCACCUUAUUAUUUAAAAUACGUUUGUAAAAAAUUAAGAAUAGGCUAUUAAAAUACUUAGCAUAUAGGUAAGUAAUAAAAGCGGAAAAUAUAAAUAUGAAGAAGAAAUAUAAAUGUUAAUUUAUUUUAAUAUAAAUUACUUAAUAACCUUAUAGAUAGCCCUUAUUUGUUAAAAAGAGUAUUGUUAAAUGUUUCUCAAAAAUAUACCAGAAAUGUUGAUCUGUUUUUUCUACCAUUUUGCAAAUCCAAUUAUUUAUAUCAUGGACCACUCACAAGAGCAUGUAGACUCAUGAAUCAUUACGAUAUAGAUUCAUUUGUUAAUUCAUUUAAUAGUUUUAAGUACAAAUUAUUGUUGUCUAUUACAUAUUCUGUAAUCUCUGUUUUAGCGAAAGCCGUUAAUAAAGCUAUUAUUAUUC